rnacentral:rRNA from 1 species
GACGCAUGUCGUGUCGGGAAAGAUUCAUCGGUAUGGGAUGGGGUCGCGUCCUAUCAGCUUGAUGGCGGGGUAACGGCCCACCAUGGCUUCGACGGGUAGCCGGCCUGAGAGGGCGACCGGCCACAUUGGGACUGAGAUACGGCCCAGACUCCUACGGGAGGCAGCAGUGGGGAAUAUUGCACAAUGGGCGCAAGCCUGAUGCAGCGACGCCGCGUGCGGGAUGACGGCCUUCGGGUUGUAAACCGCUUUUGACUGGGAGCAAGCCCUUCGGGGUGAGUGUACCUUUCGAAUAAGCACCGGCUAACUACGUGCCAGCAGCCGCGGUAAUACGUAGGGUGCAAGCGUUAUCCGGAAUUAUUGGGCGUAAAGGGCUCGUAGGCGGUUCGUCGCGUCCGGUGUGAAAGUCCAUCGCUUAACGGUGGAUCCGCGCCGGGUACGGGCGGGCUUGAGUGCGGUAGGGGAGACUGGAAUUCCCGGUGUAACGGUGGAAUGUGUAGAUAUCGGGAAAGAACA